GACGAACGCUGGCGGCGUGCCUAAUACAUGCAAGUUGAGCGAUGAAGAUUGGUGCUUGCACCAAUUUGAAGAGCAGCGAACGGGUGAGUAACGCGUGGGGAAUCUGCCUUUGAGCGGGGGACAACAUUUGGAAACGAAUGCUAAUACCGCAUAACAACUUUAAACAUAAGUUUUAAGUUUGAAAGAUGCAAUUGCAUCACUCAAAGAUGAUCCCGCGUUGUAUUAGCUAGUUGGUGAGGUAAAGGCUCACCAAGGCGAUGAUACAUAGCCGACCUGAGAGGGUGAUCGGCCACAAUGGGACUGAGACACGGCCCAAACUCCUACGGGAGGGAGCAGUAGGGAAUCUUCGGCAAUGGAAGAAAGUCUGACCGAGCAACGCCGCGUGAGUGAAGAAAGUUUUCGGAUCGUAAAACUCUGUUGGUAGAGAAGAACGUUGGUGGGAGUGGAAAGCUCAUCAAGUGACGGUAACUACCCAGAAAGGAACGGCUAACUACGUG
rnacentral:rRNA from 1 species